GACGAACGCUGGCGGCGUGCUUAACACAUGCAAGUCGAGCGGUAAGGCCCCAGCUUGCUGGGGUACACGAGCGGCGAACGGGUGAGUAACACGUGAGUAAUCUGCCCUUCACUCUGGGAUAAGCUUCGGAAACGGGGUCUAAUACCGGAUAUGACACACUCCUGCAUGGGAUGUGUGUGGAAACUUUUGUGGGUGGGGGAUGUUCAGGCGGCCUAUCAGCUUGUUGGUGGGGUAAUGGCCUACCAAGGCUUCGACGGGUAGCCGGCCUGAGAGGGUGACCGGUCACACUGGGACUGAGACACGGCCCAGACUCCUACGGGAGGCAGCAGUGGGGAAUAUUGGACAAUGGGCGGAAGCCUGAUCCAGCAACGCCGCGUGAGGGAUGACGGCCUUCGGGUUGUAAACCUCUUUCACCAUUGACGAAGCCGCACAGUGUGUGUGGUGACGGUAGGUGGGGAAGAAGCACCGGCCAACUACGUGCCAGCAGCCGCCGUAAAAC
rnacentral:rRNA from 1 species